UGAAGGCCACAGUGAGAACCGGAACUGCAUGGGAAAGAGCAGAGGAAGUUGAGAGCGGAGAAAAUGUCAGUCUUCCAGACUCAGGGGUAGCACAAACUGAGCAGAACUGGAGGGAAGCAGAGAAGAAAAUAAAAUGAGCAAAGGACUUAGAAUAGGAAUCAGCUAAUUAAUGUAUUAGGGAAACUGAAGAAAAAUCGAAUGGAGGAAGAUAGAAAACAGACGCGCGUAAGGAAGUUGCGUUCUUACUCCGUGUGGGGAAUAUGGAAGUUGCUUCCUCCUUGUCGCACUGAAGAGCGUCGCCUGAGGCUGCAGAUCUUCAUCCUGAGGCUGCAGAUCUUCAUCCUGAGGCUGCAGAUCUUCAUCCGACCGUGCUUCAUCCUCUGCUCUGGCAGCUCGCGGCAGCUCCAGGUUAAAGCUCUCAGCUUUAGCCACUAACGAUGUGUUGUCAAAGAUGGACCAAAAAAUCUCAACACCUAAAGUUCAAGAUACGCGUCUAUAAACCUUGAAAACGCACGGGGGCGUUUGGAGAAAGGCAGAACACCGGAAAGAUAAUGCGAUACACAAGAGAUUGAUUGGAGACGUUUCCAAAAAGGAAAGGCAGGCCAUUCCUCUCUGGCCAAGGCUUGGAGACUGUGGGUACCAGAAGAGAGCCGUAUGCCUGGAAUGGAGCAAGGACAAACAGUCAUAGGUCUCAGCCCUGCCCAUUUAAACUAAUCAUUCUACUCUAUAGACACAUGCACGUGAAUGUUCACUGCAGCACUGUUCUCAGUAGCAAAGACAUGGAAUCAACUUAAAUGCCCGUCAAUGACAGAUUGGAUAACAAAAAUGUGGUACAUAUACACCAUGGGAUACUAUGCAGCCAUAACAAGCAAUGAGGUCAUUCUUCUGCAGGAACAUGGAUGGAGCUGGAGGCCAUCGUCUUUAGCAAACUGACAUAGGAACAGAAAACCAAAUACCGCAUGUUCUCACUUACACGUGGGAGUUAAAUGAUGAGAACUCAUGGACACAAAGAGGGGAACAACAGACACGGGGGCCCAUCAGAGAGUGGAGGGUGGAGGGAGAGGAGCAGAAAGAAGAACUAUUGGGUACUAGGCUCAGUACCUGGGUGAUGAAAUAAUCUGUACAACAAACCCCCGUGACAUGAGUUUACCUGUGUAAGAAACCUGCAUAUGUACCCUUGAACCUAAAAGUAAAAAAAUAAUAAAAAUAAAAUCAAUAAAUGUUCAUUAAAGUUGAUCGCAGCCUGGGGCUACUGUAACAAAUGACCACGAACUGGGGUCUUGAAACAACAGAAAUUUAUCCUCUCACAGUUCUGGAGGCCAGAAACCUGAAAUCGCGGUGCCAGCCGGGCCACACUUCCUCCAAAGGCUCUGGGGAGGAUCUGCCCUUGCCUCUCCCAGCUUCUAGCGGCUCCAGGUGUUCCUGGCUGCUGGCUGCUUCCCUCCAGUCUCCACCUCCAUCAUCACAAGGCCUCUGCUUCUGUGUGAGUGUCUCCUGCUCUCCUGUCUGUUCUAAGAACACUUGACACUGCAUUUAGGGCCUGCCUGAAUAAUCUAGGAAGAUCUUGUCAGAAAAUCGUUAACUAAUUACAUCUGCAAAGAAAGAUCCUUUUUCCAAAUAAGACCACAUUCACAGGAUCUAGGGGUUAGGAUGUGAACAUAUCUUUUUUGGGGGCGGGGAUGGAGUCUGGCUCUGUCGCCCAUGCUGGAGUGUAGUGGCAUGAUCCCGGCCCACUGCAGCCUCCACCUCCCGGGUUCAAGUGAUUCUCCUGCCUCAGCCUCCUGUGUAACUGGGAUUACAGGUGCACAUCACCACACCUGGCUAAUUUUUUUGUAUUUUUAGUAGAAACAGGGUUUCACCAUGUUGGCCAGGCUGGUCUUGAACUCCUGACGUCAAGUGAUCUGCCCGCCUCAGACUUCCACGGACACAUCUUUUGGAGGGCCACCUUUCAGCAGGAAGAAAGCACACAGAGAACCUCAUCUUCUCCACCUCUCUCCAAACACAUUGACAUAAGAGAUUAAAUAUCUUACACAUAUUUUAAAGUACACAGGCUCACUCAAAACAAGAACCUCACUAUGAGCCCAAACAGAUUGAGGUCAAGACCACAGAGCUCUCUGGGAGUCAGGAGCAGAUCAAGGUUGGCACAACCCAUCCUGAAGGAGUGUCCGUGCCUCCUGCUCCUCAGAGCAACCAAAAUCUCUCCACCAACCAGAAACCAUGAAACAGCCCCGAAAGGAAGCUGAGAGAGAUGCACACAGGAGGAAACUCCAAAAACUACAAGCUCUCAAACAGAAGUAACAGACAGCGCAAGGAAAUUCAGCCGAUGGAAGAAACCCACAUGAGACAGACCAAAGAAAUAGGAGCUCAUUUCUUUGAGCUCAUUCCACUCCAGGAGACAGUGGAGUAACACAUGCAUGGUGCUGGGGAAAAAGAGCUUCUCACUGAGCAGGCCACGCCCACCUGAUUUCUUAUUCAAGAUGGAGCUGAGAUUAAGGCACUUUCAGACAUAUGCAGACAAGAACUACUACCCGUAGGAACCUUUGCUGAAUGAAAUGCUCAAGGACAUACCUAACAAAGCAAAAAAUGAACCCCAGCAAUGGGGUCAGAAAUCAAUAAACCUUGGCAAAUCUAAGCAGG
rnacentral:lncRNA from 10 species